rnacentral:rRNA from 1 species
AGUGAACGCUGGCGGUAGGCCUAACACAUGCAAGUCGAACGGCAGCACAGUAAGAGCUUGCUCUUACGGGUGGCGAGUGGCGGACGGGUGAGGAAUACAUCGGAAUCUACUUUUUCGUGGGGGAUAACGUAGGGAAACUUACGCUAAUACCGCAUACGACCUACGGGUGAAAGCAGGGGAUCUUCGGACCUUGCGCGAUUGAAUGAGCCGAUGUCGGAUUAGCUAGUUGGCGGGGUAAAGGCCCACCAAGGCGACGAUCCGUAGCUGGUCUGAGAGGAUGAUCAGCCACACUGGAACUGAGACACGGUCCAGACUCCUACGGGAGGCAGCAGUGGGGAAUAUUGGGCAAUGGGCGCAAGCCUGAUCCAGCCAUACCGCGUGGGUGAAGAAGGCCUUCGGGUUGUAAAGCCCUUUUGUUGGGAAAGAAAAGCAGCAGGUUAAUACCCCGCUGUUCUGACGGUACACAAAGAAUAAGCACCGGCUAACUUCGUG